CAAAUUUGGGACUAAAGUCAGGGUUAGUGCACACAGCAUCUGCCAGGCAACACAAACACUAAAUCCAUCCAGCUUUUGUCCUGGUAAGAAUUCAGAAAAACUACAAAUGUGAUUGUUGCAUCACUUAAAAAAUUAGAGACCAAACUGACUUUGUGCACAAUAGAGUGAAGCAGCAGCUGCACAAGUAUGAAGUGUAUGAGUGUUCAAAGUGAACAGUAUACACUGAAAGGAGUCGAACUGACAGGUGAAGUGUGUGUGGAGGGGUUUCUGAAGCUGUUGGACCAUCUGACUUGCAGUUCUGAUGCAGUAUACUGAUGCUUUAAGCAGGGUUAUCAUAGUAAACUAAAACUAAAACUAAAAUCAGCAGUGAAAAUAUUUGUAAUAAACUGAAACUACAUAAGAACUAAAACUAAACUGGAAACUAAAACUAAAACAGUUUGAACUGCUUCAAAAACUAAUGAAUGUGAAAUAGGUUCAAUAGUAGUAGUUAGAUAGUAGGUUAAAGUAUAAGUGAUGAAAGGAGUUGAAGUGAAGGUUAAAGUGUAAGUAAUGAAAGGAGGUGAAGUGAAGGUUAAAGUGUAAGUGAUGAAAGGAGGUCAACUGUAGGUUAAGGUGUAAGAGAUGAAAGGAGGUCAAGUGUAGGUUAAAGUGUAAGAAAUGAAAGGAGGUCAAGUGUAGGUUAAAGUGUAAGAAAUGAAAGGAGGUCAAAUGUAGGUUAAAGUGUGAGUGGUGAAAGGAGGUGAAGUGGAGGCUGAAGUGUAAGUGAUGAAAGGAGGUAAAGUGGACGUUAAAGUGUAAGUGCUGAAAAGAAGUGAAGUGGAGGUUAAAGUGUACGUGAUAAAAGGAGGUGAAGUGGAGGUUAAAGUGUGUGAUGAAAGGAGGUGAAGUGGAGGUUAAAGUGUGAGUGCUGAAAGGAGAUGAAGUAGAGGUUAAAAGAGGUGAAGUGUAGGUUAAAGUGUGAGUGAUGAAAGGAGGUGAAGUGAAGGUUAAAGUGUGAGUGAUGAAAGGAGGUGAAGUGGAGGUUAAACUGCAGGUGAUGAAAGGAGGUGAAGUGGAGGUUAAAGUGUAAGUGCUGAAAAGAGGUGAAGUGGAGGUUAAAGUGUAAGUGAUAAAAGGAGGUGAAGUGGAGGUUAAAGUGUGUGAUGAAAGGAGGUGAAGUGGAGGUUAAAGUGUGAGUGCUGAAAGGAGAUGAAGUAGAGGUUAAAAGAGGUGAAGUGUAGGUUAAAGUGUGAGUGAUGAAAGGAGGUGAAGUGAAGGUUAAAGUGUGAGUGAUGAAAGGAGGUGAAGUGGAGGUUAAAGUGUAAGUGCUGAAAAGAGGUGAAGUGGAGGUUAAAGUGUAAGUGAUAAAAGGAGGUGAAGUGGAGGUUAAAGUGUGUGAUGAAAGG